CUACGGGGGGCAGCAGCAAGGAAUAUUGGGCAAUGGGCGAAAGCCUGACCCAGCGACACCGCGUGAGGGAAGAAGGCCUUCGGGUUGUAAACCUCUUUUAUCGGGGAAGAAUAAUGACGGUACCCGAUGAAUAAGCCUCGGCUAACUACGUGCCAGCAGCCGCGGUAAUACGUAGGAGGCGAGCGUUAUCCGGAUUUACUGGGCGUAAAGCGGGCGUAGGCGGCUUUUCAAGUCGGAUGUGAAAUCUCCCGGCUCAAAUGGGAGGGUGCAUCGGAAACUGGGGGGCUAGAGUGCAGCAGGGAAAGUGGAAUUCCCGGUGUAGUGGUGAAAUGCGUAGAUAUCGGGAGAAACACUAGUGGCGAAGGCGGCUUUCUGGGCUGCUACUGACGCUGAGGUCCGAAGGCGUGGGGAGCAAACAGGAUUAGAUACCCUAGUAGUC
rnacentral:rRNA from 1 species